GGCAGCCUGGGGCCUGCUUCAUUGCUUUGUCUCCCGCUCCCUAAUAAUGUUUGGUUAUGUUCUGCUCCCCGGGAAUGGUCGUUCCCGCCCUGUCCAGUUCUGAACGCAUCCUUCCCGCUCUCCUUUAUGGCUGUUCCCGGCCGCCCUGGCACUCGUCUCAUCAUCCCCGGCAGUCGACGCCACUCUCUUCCGACCUCCAGGUCACCCAGUGUUUUGCCGGGGCUGCUCACCCUCUUUCGAAGCCGCAUCUCCCGAGCCACUCAUUCUCGCUCAGGAGGGCAAGCAGCCCCAGGGAGAGACUUGACGAUCAGGACCAGGUUGGCAAGCAGUGGGAGCCGAGGGCAUCCGAAUGCCAGAGAGAGUGAGGCCAUAACGGCAGUCUUAAUCCAGUUGGAUUCAACUGGUACAGCUUCCAGUUCAAAGAACCAUUGAAGCAGCUACAUGGCAACACCCUCCACUUAAUUCCAACUGGUUGCAGUUUGCCAAUCAGCUUGUCCCAGCAGAAGUCAACUGGUCCCAAUAAGAUUCAAAUGGUUGCAGUUGAAGUCAACUGGGAAAGUGGAAUCACAACAGGCUUCCCAUUGCCAAGAGGAAACACAGCUGCCGAGGCUGAAAUGGACCAGGAGGAAGCACGUCUGCCGAGAAUGCGAAUGAGCAAAGCAGCCGAACAUGAUAUCAUGUACGACCACCCGGCUCUGUCUCAACUCGCAGAACUACAGCCAACUUUGUCUGUGUGGGUAACAUCAAGCGAUAACCCAUAUUCAGGGCUAAAACAACCUGAAUUCAGAGUGGGAUGGAAAUGAGAAGGAGUGAGACCAUGUGCGAAAAGGAGAGGUCAACGUUUAUCAAUAAAGGAUCGAGGUCGCCUCAAAUCAGGCCAAGGGGGAAACAAUGACUGACUGAUUAUUUUAAUGUAUUGGAAUAGUAUUUUAAUACAUAUUUAAUUAAAGUUAGAUCUCUGUUUAAGGUAAUUUUCUUUUUUUAUUGUCUUCAUUCAUUUAUAUGUAUUUUUUUAAUGAACAGGCAAUGUUACUCAAAAUGAGUUUCCCUAUGAAUUUUCAUG